CAUCAUGCCCUCGAUCUCGUGCUUCCGAUUCAUGCGCGGCCCCGACAAAAUCCGCUUGUGGAGGGUGCACUCUGAGGUCUUUGAGCCAGUCUCGUAGAAGUCAGCGGACUAGUACUGUGCGACCUGUAGGCAAAUCUUGAAACAUGGACCUAAAUAAUCAAUUGUGUUGUUAUGUCUGGCUUUGAGCGCAAAAUACAGGGGGAAAUACUUUUCUUUAGUGUUUCCCUGAUCGCGUUUACAAUUGGCGUAUGUUUUGGGCAUCAAGUCGAUCUGUUUAGUUUUGUUGGAGAAGAGGGAUUACUAGAGCGACCGAGAUAACAUCCAAACGAUUGAGAGUCGGGUCGUUUAAAACGCGCUAGACAUCACUGAGCCUGAGAUGGCUUUGGUACGGCAGGACUACAUAGCCCCAUGGUGGACAUACUGGCUGCACAAUUUUCCUCAUCUUAAUUUUAAUUUCCAGCCUGUCGACAAUACAUUCAGACCAGAGGAGUCGAACUACCAGCAGUCCCUGAUCUUACUUGCCUGUGUGUCAGCGGUGGGGCUAGGUCUUAGCCUGCUAGUGCUAGCUGUGAACCUCAGCUGCCUGUGCUGCUGUCGGAAGGAGGAGGAGGAGGAGACGAAGAGGCCAGACUCCUGUUGCGUCACAUGGGCAGCGGUCAUCACUGGCCUGGUCAUUUGCUCGGCUGUCGGGGUGGGUUUCUAUGGAAACAGUGAAACCAACGAUGGUGUGUACCAGCUGACCUACUCCCUCUACAAUGCCAAUCAAACUGUGGGUGGCAUCGAUAGUCUGGUGACUAGCUCACUGAACAGCAUGCAGGUGGGACUGGAUGAACACCUGUCCAGGCUGGAUGAGAUCUUCUCCACGCGGGGGGACUACAGCCAGACACUUCGCUUCAUGCGGAUGAUGGCUGACAAUAUCAUCAGGCAGCUCAUUACUCUCCCAGACUUCAGCAGAGCCAAGGUGGACCUGGGAGCCAUUGCUGACCAGACGGCCUUUGUGGAGUACUACAGAUGGCUAACAUACCUGCUUCUGCUCAUCUUGGACCUGGUAAUUUGCCUCGCAGCAUGUGUUGGGCUUGCCAAGCAGUCAAGAUGGCUACUCAUUUCGAUCAUGGUGUUUGGGGUGCUGACAUUGAUCCUUAGCUGGGCAUCGCUGGGAGCAGGUACUGCCACGGCAGUGGGUACCAGCGACUUCUGUGUGUCUCCAGACAAGUUCAUUGUGAACCAAACCAGGGACGUCAUCAGUGCAGAUGUAGUCCAUUACUACCUGUACUGCACCCCGACGCUCCCCAACCCUUUCCAGCAGUCUCUGACCACUUUCCAGAGAUCGCUGACCACAAUGCAGAUCCAGGUUCAGGGUUUGCUGCAGUUCUCCUUGUCCAUUUUCCCCACAGCUGAGAGGGAUCUGUUGGGCAUCCAGCGUCUGCUGAACUCCACUGAGUUUAACCUGCACCAGCUCACUGCCCUGCUAGACUGCCGCAGUUUGCAUAAGGACUACCUGGAUGCUCUGCUGGGCGUGUGCUAUGACGGGGUGGAGGGUCUUCUCUACCUGUGCCUCUUUUCUCUGCUGGCAGCCAGUGCCUUCUUAGUCAUGCUGUGUGCUGUCCCUCGUGCCUGGACACUCAUUUCCAGCAGGGACAAGGAAUAUGAUGACAUAGAUGAGGAGGAUCCGUUCAACCCCCAGGCCCGGCGCAUGGCUCCGUACAACCCAAACCGGGCUCACAUCCACAGCUUCGUCAGCUUCAGCAGCAGCCUGGGCAGCCAGAACAGCCUGCAACCACCCCCACAGGCAGCCACCUCCAGCGCAACCACUUCUGAAUACAUGAAUCAGUCCAUGCUGUUUGGAGGGAAUCCUCGCUACGAGAACGUUCCUCUGAUUGGGAGGGGUUCACCGCCACCCUCAGCAAAACUGGCUGUCUGUCCUAGAGGAUGAGCUCUCCUAGUUGUCUCCAGGCCAGGCCAACCGUGUGGACCAGAGAAUUACUUCCUGUGGUCAGCUUAGGCUUGGUCAACUGCAGGGCUAUUCGUGAUCCGGGUGUAAGGUUGGCUGACUCAUUAUGGCACACUCUAUGUUGCCACCAUAGGUGUGAAAGCUGCUGCUUGUGGAUAAACUAAUGUACCAGCAAUCACGCCUCUCUGUUAUGUACCCAGUCAAUGUUGGACUAAAGACUCCCAGUGUGUAUUGUAGCACAAUUUAAUGAAAUAACCCGCUUCACAGUUUGAGAUGCCUUCAUAUUGAUAUAGCGAGAUUUAUACAUACCAUUGUACAUGUUAAAGCAACUAUAUUGCACCAUUAUGGAAUAUUGAAUAUUAUGGAAUGAUUUCCCCCCAUGUCUUAAUGCUCUUCUAACUUACUAAAAAGCCCCUUUGACAUGGAACUUACUUUAAUGAACUAGACAGAAGGACCGCUGUAUUUUUUAUCUAAUUGUAUCUUUUUCUUGUCUUCUGUUCGUACUUUUCUUUUUUGGAGUUUUAUCCCCAGACAUUUAAAAACAUACUCUCCCAGUAUGAGGACCACCUACCUGUCUAUGACUGAGGCUCAGAUCAGACACUUCGGAACUGACUUCCAGACGUAGAGAACCCCCACCACCAACCACCUCCCUACUUGGGUCUGCGUGGGUCUAGGUCUGGGAAACUGUUGUUACUGAUGCCAAUGGCAUGACGGCAGGAUUUCAUGGAUGGUCCUUUAUGAUCCUAUCUGACUGCCCAACUGAUCUCACAAACUGGAAAAAAAACACAUCAGCUCAAAGACUUGCAAUAGCACAGCGUGUGUCUAGGGACGAUCAUCUACAUCAAGCCUGUCCUGGCAAUCAUAAGUCAACAGGCACAAACAGUGAACACUACGUACAGGGUGUAAAUAAAUGUUUUUUUCCCACUGGUGGCUCGUAUGGAGUUGUAAGGCAUUUCCUUUCACCUAUGCAGACUUGAAAAUGUGUGUUUCUAUGGAAUAUUCUUUGAUGAAGAGGCUAUGCUCCAUCCCAGGUUGCUGUGUUGACACUGUGAAAACAGUUACUAGGUUUAUGUGAUGAAAUGGCAGAAACAUUUUAUUGUGACCCUCUGGACCUGGCAACCGCAGCAUGACCAUUUUCCUUAUCAGUCUUUCAUGCAAGUACUCAAUGCCUGAUCAAAUAAUCUUUGGUGUGCAGUGUGUUUCCUAUACAUUUGGGUGUUGUAAUACUAAGUUUGGUCACUGUGUAAUUACCCUUUCUGCUAGAUUGCUCUCCCAGAGGAUGUUCAAAACUUCCUUUAGAGAAGCGACUUGAAAACAAGUCUGAUUUUUGAGGUGCAGUGGAUUUCUGAAAUAAUGAAAAUCAAAACUGAAAAAGCAUGUUUUAUUGUGCCACUUUGUUGUUUUUUUGUGAUUAUGUCUGUAAUAGAAUGAGAGUUGCAGCCUUUUUAUGUCCAAUAAUGUACAUUUUGAAACUUAACAUAUCCCUGUCUUUUUUUUUUUUGGUUGUUUUUUAAGUUCAUGCAGACAUUUGGUCUUUAUAUUGAGGGUUCCCCAUAAUGUCAUGGAGUGAAAUGAAAAAGAAUGAUGGUAAAAGUAAAUAUAUUGGUAAAUUUAAAAUCCAUCCUGGAACAAAAAUAAUGUGUGUAUAUACAGUAUCAGGUAAGUACUUUACUAUUUUGGAUGUCAAAAUGCCAAUGCUACAGGUAACUCAGUCAGAGCAAGCCACCUUUCCCAAAGAUACUACAGGUAGUAGUGGUCUAAAUGCUGGAUCAACCAAAAAAGAGAAAUGGAUGAAUUUGAAUUUUCACUUUAUUCUUCUGCUGGCCUCCAUUUUCUUCUGCUUCAGACACAUAUCUCCCUCAAGUGCCGUUUUUUUUUACUGUCAACAUUCUGGGACAAUCAGUGUGUAUGAAUUUUAUUUAAAAACAAAAAAAAUAAACCAUUAUUUUGUAAAUACA